rnacentral:lncRNA from 1 species
UUUUUUUUUUUUUUUUCAUUCACAAUAAAGAUUAAACAAAAUUUUCUAAACUCCACUCUUUUUGCAUUUUACUUUGCUGCUGGCUUUUCUUUUUUCUUGAAUCUUAACAUACCUUUUUUUUUUCCCCCAUUGAAGCUUUAUUUUUAUUUUUCCAUUGAGGCUUUUCUUUUUUUCUUUUCUUUUCUUUUCUUUUCUUUUCUUUUCUUUUCUUUUUUUUAACACUACCUAUAUCCAUUAGCUGCCUAAUUAGUUUUAUCUAUUCCAUGUGGAUGCAGUGAGUUUAUAAGAGAAUUUCACAAACAAGUAGUUUUUUAGUGAACUUAAACAGAAUUUUAAAGGAGACCUAUUUUUAUACUCAAUAAAAGCACAAAAGUGCAGAAAGUAUAAAAUGGCUUACAAAGGGAAACAUAAGUUCAUACUGUUCCAUGUAUAAAAGUAAUAAUUUUAUUGGGUAGAGAUACUCUUAAAAGAUUCAAUACCUCUGCCAGUGCACAGAUAGGACUGUUCUAAAUGACUUGGAAACUUCUGGUUGCCUGUGGUUGCAAACAGAGAAUCUCUCCGUCGAGAAAACAAACCGCUGAAAGCAAUAGGACGGAGUUGACCACGUGGUUUCACAUGAGCAGUUGAGGAAUUGAAACACCCUGGAUGUGCGUACGUGGAGGCUUCCUUGUCAUGGUUUGAUCAAACUUCUUUUAUGUAGUCACAUAGACGUGGGUUUUCUGUGCUGUGAAAAAUGACAAAGCAAUAUGACAAAAAGUCUGAAAAUGCGUAGGAAAUAUUUACUCUAGGGUCCUUGAAGGGACGUUGAUGUUUAUGUUAUUUUAUUAGAUGGAUUACAUUCCCUCUUUGAGAAAAGAAAGAGCGACUGGAAAUAAUAAGAUGAUACCAUAGAAAGAAUUUUGAUCAAAUAGAUAUUGACAAAGGGCCCUCUAACACAUUUUUCUUCAUCCAGCUUAUGUUCAAGAACACAAUGCCCCAUCCCUUGAAUCACAUAGGGAGAAACGUUAUAUACCAUUACCAUUAAUUUCCCAUUUUGUCUACUUUUUACUCUUGUACAUAUGUUGUGGGUUUAAGAGUCUUUUGCAUUUGUUUGUGACACCUUUUUUUGAAUGGACUGUUUCAAAACUGGAGGCCUACUUUUCUGGUCUGGGGCUCCUAGUGGUCACGGCAUCCUGCAAUGCUUCAUGGUGGCCACCAGGACAGGGCCACCUGAUGAGUGAGAGCAGUUUUCAGCAUGACACUGUUGCCAAGUCUGUAUUUUCCAAGGCCACAUGAAACUUAACUUUCAUAGCCACUCCAGGUUUGGGAGCAGAAAAGCUGAAAACCCUUUUGUUUAGGAGUCUGAGUGGUUUGUUGGGGGGGAACCUUUUUUAGAGUUUGCAUGCCAGCGCACGCCCUGAUGCUGUGAAACAGAGAGAGGGUGAAGCUCCCCGAGGCGGUGCGCUGGAGGAUGAAGUGUUUGGUAGCACUAGGGGGAAAAGAAAAUGCAUGGCAAAGUUUCGUCUUCUUGUAGACUAUCUAGCAUGCAGAGUUUAGUGUGUUAGAACAGUGUAUGACAUUGCUGUAUCAAAGUUGUAAAAUUAAGCAUUAUUUAUUGAAAACUAUGUAUUUUUUUGUAAAAACCUGAUCACAUAGAGAAUAUCAGUGGCUUGUGCUCGUGCUCCAAUGGAACCAGCUUCGUGACCCACCCUCCUUGGUAUGCAGUGUUAUUGCUCAGGGUUGAAAAUAGUAUACCCCAAUGUCUCUUUGCAAGAGUUUUUCACAGAGGAAUACAUUUGUUCAAAAGACUCUAAUAAAAUUGUGUGAUCGAUCUGCACUUGUGGUUUUUAUGUGACUCUUUUACGGUUUUGCAUUUGAUAACUACCGUAUGAUUCCUGAUCGUCCCAGACAGGCUUGCAGAGUCCUGGAUGUCAGCCUGGACAGGAGUAGACCCCACAGGAAUGCUCUGGGCAGGUUUGAGAGCUGCUGAUAAUGGGAAUGAGCAUGAUAAUAAGGUCUCGAGAUUUUUAACUGGCCAAUCGAGUGGGUAAAAGCAUAAGCAAAGUAUAACAAGGCAGAUGAACAUGCUCGGUCAGAAAUGCUUGAGGUAGAAAAUGAAGGGAACUUAUUCAGGGCCAGUUGAUGCUGUUAAAUUCAGUGCCAGCAAACUCCCAUUUCUCUGUGUCCUUUUGUUUUUGUUUUGUUUUGUUUUUGUUUUUGUUUUUUCCUAUCAACAAUUUACAGUGUAAAUGUAUUUUGACAUAGAAAUCAUUCUGUAUUGAGAUUCUGGAUAUAAAAUGCUUUUAUGGAUGCCUGUAAGUGAUCCUUGGAAUUAUUAUCAGAUUUUUUUAAAGAUGUGUUUACAUGGUGAGUGUUUGUUGUAUAUUAAAUUUGGUUUUG